UACAGAGGGUGCGAGCGUUGUCCGGAAUCACUGGGCGUAAGGGCGCGUAGGCGGCUUGAUAAGCGUGCGGUGAAAGCCCGGGGCUCAACCCCGGGUCGGCCGUGCGAACUGUCGAGCUGGAGCACUGUAGAGGCAGGUGGAAUUCCGGGUGUAGCGGUGGAAUGCGUAGAGAUCCGGAAGAACACCGGUGGCGAAGGCGGCCUGCUGGGCAGUGGCUGA
rnacentral:rRNA from 1 species